rnacentral:rRNA from 1 species
CGGCGGACGGGUGAGUAACACGUGGAUAACCUACCUAUAAGACUGGGAUAACUUCGGGAAACCGGAGCUAAUACCGGAUAAUAUAUUGAACCGCAUGGUUCAAUAGUGAAAGACGGUUUUGCUGUCACUUAUAGAUUGAUCCGCGCCGCAUUAGCUAGUUGGUAAGGUAACGGCUUACCAAGGCAACGAUGCGUAGCCGACCUGAGAGGGUGAUCGGCCACACUGGAACUGAGACACGGUCCAG